rnacentral:rRNA from 1 species
UACGUAGGGGGCAAGCGUUGUCCGGAAUCAUUGGGCGUAAAGCGCGUGUAGGCGGCCCGGUAAGUCCGCUGUGAAAGUCGGGGGCUCAACCCUCGAAUGCCGGUGGAUACUGUCGGGCUAGAGUGCGGGAGAGGCGAGUGGAAUUCCUGGUGUAGCGGUGAAAUGCGUAGAGAUCGGGAGGAACACCAGUGGCGAAGGCGGCCGGCUGGGGGUGACCUGACGCUGAGGCGCGAAAGCGUGGGGAGCGAACCGG